UCAUGAAUUGAGCUAAGGUGAGC
rnacentral:siRNA from 1 species